rnacentral:rRNA from 1 species
ACUCCUACGGGAGGCAGCAGUGGGGAAUAUUGCACAAUGGGGGAAACCCUGAUGCAGCCAUGCCGCGUGUGUGAAGAAGGCCUUCGGGUUGUAAAGCACUUUCAGCGAGGAGGAAAGGUUGGCGCCUAAUACGUGUCAACUGUGACGUUACUCGCAGAAGAAGCACCGGCUAACUCCGUGCCAGCAGCCGCGGUAAUACA